UCGACUCGUGAGGUAAAAGAAAACAGUCGGUGCGAAGUCGUAACAUGGUAGUUGACAGUGAACUUGUAGCUG
rnacentral:rRNA from 1 species